UACGUAGGGGGCAAGCGUUGUCCGGAUUCAUUGGGCGUAAAGAGCGUGUAGGCGGCCAGGUAGGUCGGUUGUGAAAACUGGAGGCUCAACCUUCAGAGGUCGACCGAAACCAUCUGGCUAGAGUCCGGGAGAGGAGAGUGGAAUUCCUGGUGUAGCGGUGAAAUGCGCAGAUAUCAGGAAGAACACCCGUGGCGAAAGCGGCUCUCUGGAACGGUACUGACGCUGAGACGCGAAAGCGUGGG
rnacentral:rRNA from 1 species